rnacentral:rRNA from 1 species
AUUGAACGCUGGCGGCAGGCCUAACACAUGCAAGUCGAGCGGAUGAAGGGAGCUUGCUCCUGGAUUCAGCGGCGGACGGGUGAGUAAUGCCUAUGAAUCUGCCUGGUAGUGGGGGAUAACGUCCGGAAACGGGCGCUAAUACCGCAUACGUCCUGAGGGAGAAAGUGGGGGAUCUUCGGACCUCACGCUAUCAGAUGAGCCUAGGUCGGAUUAGCUAGUUGGUGGGGUAAAGGCCUACCAAGGCGACGAUCCGUAACUGGUCUGAGAGGAUGAUCAGUCACACUGGAACUGGAACACGGUCCAGACUCCUACGGGAGGCAGCAGUGGGGAAUAUUGGACAAUGGGCGAAAGCCUUAUCCAGCCAUGCCGCGUGUGUGAAGAAGGUCUUCGGAUUGUAAAGCACUUUAAGUUGUGAGGAAGGGCAGUAAGUUAAUACCUUGCUGUUUUGACGUUACCAACAGAAUAAGCACCGGCUAACUUCGUG